rnacentral:rRNA from 1 species
AACGCGUGAGUAACCUGCCUUACACAAGGGGAUAGCCGUUGGAAACGACGAAUAAUACCCUAUGAAACUAUCACUUCGCAUGAAGCGAUAGUCAAAGUGUUAGCGGUGUAAGAUGGACUUGCGUCUGAUUAGCUAGUUGGUGAGAUAACAGCCCACCAAGGCAACGAUCAGUAGCCGGCUUGAGAGAGUGUACGGCCACAUUGGGACUGAGACACGGCCCAG